UACGUAGGUGGCAAGCGUUAUCCGGAUUUACUGGGUGUAAAGGGCGUGUAGGCGGGUCUUCAAGUCGGAUGUGAAAUACCUAGGCUUAACCUAGGCAGGUCAUCCGAAACUGGGGAUCUUGAGUACUGGAGAGGAUAGUGGAAUUCCUAGUGUAGCGGUAAAAUGCGUAGAUAUUAGGAGGAACACCAGUGGCGAAGGCGGCUAUCUGGACAGUAACUGACGCUGAGGCGCGAAAGCGUGGGGAGCAAACAGG
rnacentral:rRNA from 1 species